rnacentral:lncRNA from 1 species
CUGUUUCCUGAAGUCCACAAUCAUAUCCUUUUGUUUUGUUUUGUUGACGUUGAGUGUGAGGUUAUUUUCCUGACACCACACUCCGAGCCCCCACCCCUCCCUGUAGGCCAUCUCGUGGGUUGGUAAUCAAGCCUACCACUGUUUGUGUCGUCCGCAUUACAUCUCAAUCACACAGACAACACACCACCCCACCAACACAUCACCACCACCACCACCAUCACCACCACCACACACAUCACCACCACCACCACCAUCACCACCACCAUCACCAUUACAUCUCAAUCACACAGACAACAACUCACCACCACCAUCACCACAUCACCACUACCAUCACCACCACCACCACCAACCACCACCACCAUUACAUAUCAUCAACAGACAACACACCACCACCACCAACACAUCAACCACACCACACCAUCACCACAACACAACCACCACCAUACAUCUCAAUCAUACAGACAACACAUCACCACCACCAUCACACACACACACUACCACACACCACCACCACCACCAUUACAUCUCAAUCAUACAGACAACCACCACCACCACACACAUCACCACACCAUCACCACCACCACCACCACACCAUUACAUCUCAAUCAAACAGACAACACAUCACCACCACCACACCACAUCACCACUACCAUCACCACCACCACCACCACCAUCAUCUCAAUCAACAACAGCACACCACCACCACAUACACAUUCAUCUCAAUCACACAGACAACACAUCACCACCACAUCACCACAUCACCACUAACCAUCACCACCACCACCACCACCAUUACAUCUCAAUCAUACAGACAACACAUCACCCCACCACCAUCACCACACACCACUACCACACCACCACCACCACCACCAUUACAUCUCACAUCAUACAGACAACACAUCACCACCAUCACCAUCACCAUUACAUCUCAAUGAUACAGACAGCACACCCCCACCAUCAAACCAUAACNNNNNNNNNNNNNNNNNNNNNNNNNNNNNNNNNNNNNNNNNNNNNNNNNNN